rnacentral:rRNA from 1 species
AUUGAACGCUGGCGGCAUGCCUUACACAUGCAAGUCGAACGGCAGCAUGAUCUAGCUCGCUAGAUUGAUGGCGAGUGGCGAACGGGUGAGUAAUACAUCGGAACGUGCCCUGUAGUGGGGGAUAACUAGUCGAAAGAUUAGCUAAUACCGCAUACGACCUGAGGGUGAAAGUGGGGGACCGCAAGGCCUCAUGCUAUAGGAGCGGCCGAUGUCUGAUUAGCUAGUUGGUGAGGUAAAGGCUCACCAAGGCGACGAUCAGUAGCUGGUCUGAGAGGACGAUCAGCCACACUGGGACUGAGACACGGCCCAGACUCCUACGGGAGGCAGCAGUGGGGAAUUUUGGACAAUGGGGGCAACCCUGAUCCAGCAAUGCCGCGUGUGUGAAGAAGGCCUUCGGGUUGUAGAGCACUUUUGUCCGGAAAGAAAUCGCACUUACUAAUAUUAGGUGUGGAUGACGGUACCGGAAGAAUAAGGACCGGCUAACUACGUGCCAGCCGCCGCCGUAAGAC